rnacentral:tRNA from 1 species
UCCCUGGUAUCUCAGCAAGCAAAGAAACUGCCUGCAAUGCAGGAGUCACGGGAGAUGCAGGUUCGAUCCCUGCAUCGGGAA